GUGCGGGUAGUCAAUUUAAGAAGAUGUCAGGCUUAGUAACCUAUAGUUCAAAAGUUUUUGUCCGCACU
rnacentral:tRNA from 2 species